CAGCUGUGUUUCUCUUCUCUCCUCUCCCGAGUCAACUAGGAAUACCCUGGACUGCAACAAGACAGGACUAGAAAGAAUUCAGGAAGCCACCAAAUCACUGGCGCAACUUAUGUGAAGCUACGUUCCAGGUGGCGCUAAACUUUACACUGAAGAUGAUUUAGACUUUCCGCAGACUCAAGACACCAAGGGUCACAGACAUUUCCAGCAGUCCAGAUCACAGUCUUCCUCAUAGGUUCCAGAACUCUCUCCUUGCUGCUGAAUGAAGAUAAAUCUUGGUAAAGCUCCCUGUUGGAUGUGGCAGCAAUUGUGCCAACUUCUGUUCCUGAAUGAGUACAUGAACUUGGCUCCUCCUUCUACCAUUAUGUGAACAAGAAGAAAAUAAUCCCACUGGAUCUGAGCACUAUAGAAUUUUGGAGUCCAUUUGUGAUAAAUGUUUAUUUAACUAGGUGCUAUUUCCGUUCCACCUUCAAUUCCCUUUUGUAUUUGCAAUUACCUUCCAUUUUAUGAGUUUUCACCAACAGAUAUCUAACAAGCUCUGACCUACAUUUUUUCACUUUCUUCGAUGUUUUCCACUGACUAAUCUCUAUGUUUUUCAGGUCUUCUAAAUACUGACCUAUCAUCACCCAGAAGUAGUCUCGUGUGCCAGCAAAAACUGUUCCUUUGAGAUAGAAAACAUUUAAAAGUCAAAAUCUACUGCAUACCUUUUUUGUCUGGGAGUGGGUGUCUCUUUUUCUGAUUGCUGAGUAGAUUUUUUUUUUUUUCCUACCUGAUUUUGACAUCUUCUAAAUGAUUCCUAAGCAUUUAUGUACUUCUGGAAGCAUUUUGACUAUUUUCAGAGAAACUGUUAAUACACUUCCUGGUUUCACACAUUGAUUUCUGAAUAGGAAUUAGGAAUCGGUAUUCACCUUUGGUUUCUUCAUGUCUUCUCUGAAAUGUGGCAUUUUUCUUUUUUUAAAAUAUUUUAUUUACUUGUUAAUGAGAAAGAUAGAAGAGAGAGAAAGAACCCCAUAUCCCUCCGAUACACGUGCUGCUAGGGAUUGAACUCAGGACCUUGUGCUGGAAAGUUCAAUGCUGUAUCUACCGCAUCAUCUCCAAGACCGCAUGUAAUGCUUUUCUUAUUUUGAAUUUUCUGUUUCCCUGCUCUCUAAUUUUUUGACAUUGGGUUCUGGAUCUUCUUUCAGAUUCUUUGUUUAAAUUAAGAGGUUUCUUGGCUUUUCUGUUCCUGGUUUCUAUUUACAACUCUGGACACAGUAUCAUUAUAUAGAACCUCAUCACUAGAAAGGAUUUUUUUCCUUCUGUAAUACCCUCUGCUAUCU